rnacentral:lncRNA from 1 species
AUUUGCAUUACAAUGUAAUUUGUCUUUUAUCUAGCUCUUCUCCUGAACUUACCCAGUCUCUUAACUCUCAUAGAAUCACAGAUCACUGAGUUCUCUAUUCUUCUGUCACUUACUUAAGCAUUUCCUUCCACUCACCUAUCAGCUUAACCUGCCCUUAAGCACCUUCACAUCAGUCUAUUAAGCUAUUUUUUUAUUGGUGUAUGUGUAUGUGUGUGAGGAGAGAGAGAAGAAAAAGAAGGAAUGAGUAUUUUUGAGAAAAUUCCACAGCAGGAAAAAAGAUGUCAUAUUAUUCUAGUUAAAAGAAUUGCAGUUUGGGCUUCAUACCUGGCAGAUUAGGAGGCAGUUAACGAACGUUCAAACUUCAUUUUAUCAUUACUGGAGUAAUACACUUUAAGAUAGAAGGAUUCUUAAAUGUAUUAUUUCUAAAACUGGCCUCAGUUUAACACCAUCCCUGUACUAUUCCCAGAUGCUGAGCCAUUCUU